GCCAUAUAUGUGAUCUCCCAAAUCAGCUGCUUAAGACAUGCUUUGAUGGUAUAGAUGAUUCUUAUUUUCUUUAUAGCGCGCAUGUGCAUUCAAUAUUGUUGCAGAAACAACGUUUUGAAAUUAGUAAGGUUUCCACAACUCCCCAUUCUUUAUAUUCUACCAAAACUAAACAACACAAACAAACAAUAACAUUACCCACACACGCCCAUGCUCAUCCUCUAGCUCCAACUUCUUUGCCAAGAGCAUAAGCAUGCCACCUCACCGCCUGCUCUUGUCCGAUCAAUCCAAGCCAACAUUAUCAUCUCUGGAUUCAGGCCGUGUAGCCACACUUAAUAGAUAUUUACUGCAAAAAUUUCCGGUCAUGUUUAUGCAAAGCGCUUGUUUGAUAGAAUUCCCCAACCAGAUGUCGUGGCAAGAACAACAAUGAUUGCUGCAUACUCUGCUUCCGGGGACCCCAAUCUUGCAAGAGAGGUUUUUGAUAAAACCCCAUUAAGCAUCCACGACACUGUUUGUUACAACACUAUGAUUACAGGCUAUUCACAUAGCAAUGAUGGCCAUGCUACUAUAAACUAUUUCUUGAUAUGAGAUGGAAAAGUUUCCAGCCUGACUACACCUCGGUGCUUGCAGCUUUAGUUCUUAUAGCUGAUCAUGAAAUGCACUGCCGGCAGCUGCAUUGUGCUGUUGUGAAGUCAGGCAUGGCGUCGGUUAAAUGUGUUGUCAAUGCAUUUAUAUCAGUUUAUUUCAAAUGUGAAUCGCCCAUAGGGUCAUCUGUGCUGUCGAUGGGCUCAGCAAGCAAGUUGUUUAUAUGAGAUGCCAGAGCGGGAUGACUUGUCCUGAACUAUGGUUAUCACAGGGUAUGUGAAGAAUGAUGACCUUGAUGCUGCUCGGAAGGUAUUUCAUGGUAUGGAUGAGAAGUUGCUUGUGGCAUGGAAUGCAAUGAUCUUUAGGUAUGUGCAUAAAGGUUUCAUUAGACAUGUUAAGAAAAAUGUACUCAGUAGAGGUGAAGCCACAUGAGUUUACCUGCACUAGUAUCCUUAGUGCUUGUCCCGAUGCUGGAUUGUUUCUUCUAGGAAAACAGGUGCAUGCUUAUGUUAAACGAACAGAAGAGGAGAUUCAUGUGUCUCUACAUUACGCUUUAAUAACAUUAUAUUAGAAAUGUGGGAGCUGGUGAAGCAAGAAAAGUUUUUGAUAAUCUAGACUGCUUCUUUCUGCCUUUUUGUUGGUAUUUAUUGCAGUAAAUAUUCAAUUUUGGGGUUCUUAGGAGAUGGGUGAGAAUGUAUAAUCGUGCUGCUUUUGCUGUCUAAUUUUAUAAACAAGAAAAUUCAUUUUUAUCUGAUUUUCCUCUUCAAAAUGAUAAAAGAAUUAUAUUUGAUGAAGUACUUACAAGUGAUUAGAGAAGUCUAUGACAACUAGUGCAAUUUUAAUUAUUCAUUAUUGAUACAUUGUCUAUAAAUUCGCAUGCUAGGUUUUUUUUUUCUUUCAGUUGUUUUGUCGUAGGAAAUGGCGUAAUAGUUGGUUUGGUUUGUUGAGUAAAGCACGAGUAAUGAAGCCCCCUAGCCAACCCACAUCUACCGCAGCGCGCUCGCACACACAUGGAAACAAACAUAGAGAGAACUUUAGAAAGUUGAUUUUUCUUUCUUAAUAAGCAAGCAAUUGGAUGGGUUCUGAAUCUUCUGAUAUCAAUUGCCCUCUUAUGUUCCUUCUUUUUUUGUGGAAAAUUUAACUUUUCUAUUCUUAGCUUUAUCCAACUUGCAUCUCACUGGUUACAUGUUUCUGUUGUAAAGAUCUUAUUAUUUUCUAUCCUUGCAUAUGUGUACAUAAUAAUAUGUUUAUUUGUUAACUGCUUGUGCACCUGUGUGGAAACUCUUGGAGCACCAAAUCACAAAGGUAUUUCACUAUUGACAAGUGCAAGAGACUGAUAAGUGUCAUGAAUCCAAAUAUUAUUGGGGCACAUGAGAAGCACAUGACUACCAGUACAUUCUCAUAUAUGCACACCUCGACCGGGCUGAGGAGUUGGGCAAGAUUUGGUAAAAUCCCAACAAUCCAAAAUAUCUUCUCUCUACUCUUUCCCUCUCUCUCUCUCUGUCUUUCUCAUCUUCUUCUUCUUCCUAAUUCUUUUGGAAUUCAACAUAGGAGCUUGAAGCUCAUUAAUGGAGUUUUAGCUUCGAAUUAGUUCUUUUUCAUUUUACUCUUUCAUUGUAGCUAUGAUUGUAUUGAAUCUUACAAGUAAUAAAAUUCUCAUUUCUGCUCUAAUUCUUUGAUUUCGAUUCAAGUACAUUACAAAUGGUAUCAGAGCCAUAUCUUGGCACGUUUGGGAGUUCUACCGUCAUGGCAGAAGAAACUGUGUUUGAAGAUUUUUCAAAGACAAUUCAAUUGGCUAGUGUUCGGAUGGGAGCAAACUUUGAUAAUUUGAAUAGGAAAUUGGAUAAACUCAACUGGCAAAUGGACAAAAUCUUGGACAAGCUUGGAAUUAAUUUGAAAGAUAAUGGAAGUGCUUGCCAUGUUCUUAAAGAAGAUCGAGAAAGUACAAUAAAGGAAAUAGAAGGUGCGACAGGGUAUCUGGUGAACUAGAGGUCUCAUCAAGUGAAGGGUUCUUUAGAAAAUUACCGGAGAUGGAUGUGCCUAAUGAACCUAUGGUAGAACCAUUGAAGCUUGAAGAUGCCUCUGUCAGAAAAUCUUUAAGACUCAAGCACCUUGAGGCAGGGAACGAACUUAUCAUACCCCCACUUGAAGACGUUGGAAAGUCUUACGAGCCGGACGAAUAUGUCGAAAUUGAGGUAAGUCAACAAGUUGUUCUUAUGGUUGAUCGAAAAUCUCUCUUGUGUGAGUGCCAUAGGGUGGUAUGGUGUGUUAAGGACUCUAAGUGCAUAAUCUCUCAUGUUUGGUAGGGAAGGAGUCAUGAGUUAGAUGACACACUUAAGUUGUUUGAUAAAUUGCCAGAACUAGAUGUUGUUUGCUUGAUUUCAGUUAUAAUUGUUCCUGUCAACGACAAAAAAUAUAUGAAUGAUCUCUACACUAUGAUUUUUGAUCCGGGAGGAAUGAUAUUCAGUUGUUGCCUCACUACUUAAGCACGCUCUUCAGAAUAUCAAAGGAUCAUGGUGGGAGGGUGUUUGAUCUUGCUGCAAUUUUAAUACAUGACACCUGCUUCCCUGUAUUGGAUAGUAGAAAUGUACAGUAUACAUAAUUUUUAAAAAGAUUGGCAUUACAGUAUGAGGGUCCAUCUAGUUUAAGGUGCCCUGUUUUGACAAGAUUACAGUAUGUUUGGGCACUCAAUUUCGUAGAUUACCAACAAGGCGCUGAACUUGAGUUCUUUAAGGAGUUGAUUACCUUAUUGAAUUACAAAAGGUGUUGCUGCAUUGGGACUUGAUCGUGUUUGUUCUAGUCAUUUAAAUGACACCUUUUCAAAUUGGAACUCAAGAAGGACUGUGAUUGUUAUUACAAAUGCUGCAAUUUUAAAGAUACAAAAGGCUGAUGCUAUAGUUGAUAGGCAGCCUGAGAAGACUUCAGUUGACAAGCUCACUCAGUUGUGUGGCAGUCAUUGGCACUUUUGUGGGUGUCAGUGUUACCUGCCAUUAACAAGUAAACAACAUCUAGCUUCUAACAUCGUCUCCUAUAUGACCUUGACGACAAGGUCAAUUUCAAGCGGGAUGGAUAUUUUGGAUUGUUGGGAUUUUACCAAAUCUUGCCUAACUCCUCAGCCCGGUCGAGGUGUGCAUAUAUGAGAAUGUACUGGUAGUCAUGUGUUUCUCAUGUGCCCCAAUAAUAUUUGGAUUCAUGACAAUAAGUAAUAUUUUCCUCUACUUUUUGUUGCUUGAAAUGCAGAAUGGCGAACAAACGAUCCAAUAAGAAGCAUUAGGGGCAUUGGCUUCUUUAGCCCAAUCUGCUAAGAAACAACGUCAGGCUCUUGCCUUUCCUGCUGCAAUUUUAUAGCUGCGUGAUGAUGCCCAAGCUUUGCAGGCUUGUAAUUCUUCUGUGGAUCCAGCAACAUUCCUAGCUGCUAUCGAAUCAGGAACUGUAAGGUGAAAAAUGAUUCCGCGAGGUAACAUGUGAAGUUGCCUAGGUGAAUAUGCGUACUCGCAAAAUGAUGAGGAUGGAAAGGAUGACAGCAAUAAUUGAAUCAUCUAUUGCGCAAGAGAUUCAUGGAGAGCGCAAGUGAAGCAGACUUCAGAUAAGCAUGUCAUUAUAACAAGUGAAUUUCCGAAUGCAAGAACUGAAAUUCUGUUGUUUAUGUUAAAGAUAUAUAUGUGACUAUGAUUUUCCAAAUAAGCUUUUUCGGAUUACAAUGCCCUUGUCUUAAUAUUGACAUCUUCUAAUGCGGGAUCGAACUCAUGCGUAAAUUA